rnacentral:rRNA from 1 species
GACGAACGCUGGCGGCGUGCUUAACACAUGCAAGUCGAACGGUAAGGCCCCUUCGGGGGUACACGAGUGGCGUACGGGUGAGUAACACGUGAGCAACCUGCCCUUGACUUUGGGAUACCAGCUGGAAACAGCUGCUAAUACCGGAUAUGACCUCUUCUCUCAUGGGUUGAGGUGGAAAGCUCCGGCGGUCAGGGAUGGGCUCGCGGCCUAUCAGCUUGUUGGUGAGGUAAUGGCUCACCAAGGCUUCGACGGGUAGCCGGCCUGAGAGGGCGACCGGCCACACUGGGACUGAGAUACGGCCCAGACUCCUACGGGAGGCAGCAGUGGGGAAUAUUGCACAAUGGGCGCAAGCCUGAUGCAGCAACGCCGCGUGCGGGAUGACGGCCUUCGGGUUGUAAACCGCUUUCAGUAGGGACGAAGCUAACGUGACGGUACCUACAGAAGAAGGACCGGCUAACUACGUG